UAUAUAUAUAUAUAUAUAUAGGCCAUGGUACCUCACUUCAAAAAGGCCUUCUCACCCCACCUUUUGCCUAAGGCCUUAUAUGGUACCCUAUCGCCUUAAUGUCACCUCUCACCUUAAUGAGGCUAGAUGAAACCAAUUAGCAACAAGCAACUAACUGAAUCCAAUUUUUAUAUUAUUUUCAAUAUUUGGUAAUCUUAGCCAUUUGCAAUUGCAAGCUAAAAAUG
rnacentral:misc_RNA from 1 species